ACUCCUACGGGAGGCAGCAGUGGGGAAUAUUGGACAAUGGGGGCAACCCUGAUCCAGCAAUGCCGCGUGUGUGAAGAAGGCCUGCGGGUUGUAAAGCACUUUCAGUAGAGAAGAAAAGCUUAAGGUUAAUACCCUUGAGUCUUGACGUAACCUACAGAAGAAGCACCGGCUAACUCCGUGCCAGCAGCCGCGGUAAUACGGAGGGUGCGAGCGUUAAUCGGAAUUACUGGGCGUAAAGCGCGCGUAGGCGGUUUUGUAAGUCGGAUGUGAAAGCCCAGGGCUUAACCCUGGAAUUGCAUUCGAUACUGCUUAACUAGAGUAUGGUAGAGGGAAGUGGAAUUUCCGGUGUAGCGGUGAAAUGCGUAGAUAUCGGAAGGAACACCAGUGGCGAAGGCGACUUCCUGGGCCAAUACUGACGCUGAGGUGUGAAAGCGUGGGGAGCAAACAGGAUUAGAUACCCUGGUAGGAUAG
rnacentral:rRNA from 1 species